rnacentral:rRNA from 1 species
UNNAUCGGCGCACGGGUGCGUAACGCGUGGGAAUCUGGCCCUUGGGUGCGGAAUAACUUCUCGAAAGGGAUGCUAAUACCGCAUAAUGUCGUAAGACCAAAGAUUUAUCGCCCAAGGAUGAGCCCGCGUAGGAUUAGCUAGUUGGUGGGGUAAAAGCCUACCAAGGCGACGAUCCUUAGCUGGUCUGAGAGGAUGAUCAGCCACACUGGGACUGAGACACGGCCCAGACUCCUACGGGAGGCAGCGGUGGGGAAUAUUGGACAAUGGGCGAAAGCCUGAUCCAGCAAUGCCGCGUGAGUGAUGAAGGCCCUAGGGUUGUAAAGCUCUUUUACCCGGGAUGAUAAUGACAGUACCGGGAGAAUAAGCUCCGGCUAACUCCGUGCCUNCAGCCGCGGUAAUACGGAGGGAGCUAGCGUUGUUCGGAAUUACUGGGCGUAAAGCGCGCGUAGGCGGUUUUUUAAGUCAGAGGUGAAAGCCCGGGGCUCAACCCCGGAAUUGCCUUUGAACUGGNAAACUAGAAUCUUGGAGAGGUCAGUGGAAUUCCGAGUGUAGAGGUGAANUUCGUAAAUAUUCGGAANAACNCCAGUGGCGAAGGCGACUGACUGGACAAGUNUUGACNCUGANGUGCNAAAGCNUGGGGGAGCNAACAGGAUUANAUACCCUGGUAGUCCNCGCCGUAACGAUNAUACUAGCUGUCCNGGUUCUANAACUUGGGGGGCGCACCUA